rnacentral:rRNA from 1 species
AUUGAACGCUGGCGGCAUGCUUUACACAUGCAAGUCGAACGGUAACAGGUUAAGCUGACGAGUGGCGAACGGGUGAGUAAUGCAUCGGAACGUGCCCGAUCGUGGGGGAUAACGCAGCGAAAGCUGCGCUAAUACCGCAUACGAUCUGAGGAUGAAAGCGGGGGACCGUAAGGCCUCGCGCGAUCGGAGCGGCCGAUGUCAGAUUAGGUAGUUGGUGGGGUAAAGGUUCACCAAGCCGACGAUCUGUAGCUGGUAUGAGAGGACGACCAGCCGCACUGGGACUGAGACACGGCCCAGACUCCUACGGGAGGCAGCAGUGGGGAAUUUUGGACAAUGGGCGAAAGCCUGAUCCAGCAAUGCCGCGUGCAGGAAGAAGGCCUUCGGGUUGUAAACUGCUUUUGUACGGAGCGAAAAGGCUCUCUCUAAUACAGGGGGCUCAUGACGGUACCGUAAGAAUAAGCACCGGCUAACUACGUGCCAGCAGCCGCCGUAAGAC